UACGUAGGGGGCAAGCGUUGUCCGGAUUUAUUGGGCGUAAAGAGCGUGUAGGCGGCCACACAGGUCUGCUGUGAAAACUCGAGGCUUAACCUCGAGCUGUCGGCGGAAACCAUCUGGCUAGAGUCCGGAAGAGGAGAAUGGAAUUCCCGGUGUAGCGGUGAAAUGCGCAGAUAUCGGGAAGAACACCCGUGGCGAAGGCGGUUCUCUGGGACGGUACUGACGCUGAGACGCGAAAGCGUGGGGAGCGAACAGG
rnacentral:rRNA from 1 species